UACGUAGGGGGCUAGCGUUGUCCGGAAUCAUUGUGCGUAAAGAGCGUGUAGGCGGUCCGGUAAGUCCGCUGUGAAAGUCGGGGGCUCAACCCUCGAAUGCCGGUGGAUACUGUCGGGCUAGAGUGCGGAAGAGGCGAGUGGAAUUCCUGGUGUAGCGGUGAAAUGCGCAGAUAUCAGGAGGAACACCUAUUGCGAAGGCAGCUCGCUGGGACGUAACUGACGCUGAGACGCGAAAGCGUGGGGAGCAAACAGG
rnacentral:rRNA from 1 species